AUGCUAGUGAAGCAAUCUCAAAGUUGAAGAAAUGUUAUUUCAGUGUCUUUUGGUGGUGUUGUUAAAGAGUUGUCUAUCUGAAACAAUUGUAAAAAAUGAUUCCGAUGGUUUUGGCUACGAAUUACUGAUAGCUAAAAUUGAUCACUUGGAAAACAGAUUCGUGGAGCUUUUAAAUGAAGUGAAAAGGGAACUGCUGGCAAACUCACCACAUCAAAAUAGCAACAUUCAAUGUCCUCAAAGUGCUUCUCCAGAGAAGAACGAGGUGAAGGAGGUUCCUUCGAUAACGUCGUGUGAACUUGAGCCAUCGAAAGUUUCCGGCCAAUAUUGGCUAGCGGUUCCGGAUAUGCCUGCAUUUGAGGUUUACUGUGAGCAGACUCUGCAGGGAGGGGGUUGGAUCGUGAUUCAGAAUCGAUUCGACGGAUCGGUGGAUUUCUACAGGAACUGGUCGGACUACAAGGAAGGCUUUUAGGCGGUUGGAUGGUGAAUUUUGGCUGGGACUUGAUAAGAUUAAUUUGUUAACCUCUCACAAAGCGCGAAAACUUCUGGUUCAUUUGGAAGACUUUUCCGGCAAUAAAAAGUUUGCCCUCUAUAGUGAAUUUGCCAUCGGCAGUGAAAGUGAGCAGUACGUUUUGAGCACCGUAGGUGGGCACAGUGGAACCUUGGUGGACUCGUUUGUUAAUCACAGGGGAAACAAGUUUACCACAAAAGACGUCGACAAUGAUAAAAACUCGAAAAAUUGCGCUUCUUGGUUCCACGGUGCCUGGUGGUACACGCCGGGAUGUUACACAAGCAACCUAAAUG